rnacentral:rRNA from 1 species
GCGAAGGCAGCUUACUAAACCGAUAUUGACGCUCAGGCACGAAAGCGUGGGGAGCGAACAGGAUUAGAUACCCUGGUAGUCCACGCCGUAAACUAUGAUCACUCGUUGUUGGCAAUACACAGUCAGUGACCAAGCGAAAGCGAUAAGUGAUCCACCUGGGGAGUACGAUCGCAAGGUUGAAACUCAAAGGAAUUGACGGGGGCCCGCACAAGCGGUGGAGCAUGUGGUUUAAUUCGAUGAUACGCGAGGAACCUUACCUGGGCUCAAAUGUAAGUUGACAGUUUCUGAAAGGGAAUUUUCUUCGGACAAUUUACAAGGUGCUGCAUGGUUGUCGUCAGCUCGUGCCGUGAGGUGUCGGGUUAAGUCCCAUAACGAGCGCAACCCCUACUCUUAGUUGCCAUCAGAUAAUGCUGGGGACUCUAGGAGAACUGCCUACGCAAGUAGAGAGGAAGGUGGGGAUGACGUCAAAUCAGCACGGCCCUUACGUCCAGGGCUACACACGUGCUACAAUGGCGGGUACAGAGGGCAGCCACCUGGUGACAGGGAGCGAAUCUCUAAAGCCGGUCUCAGUUCGGAUCGAAGUCUGCAACCCGACUUCGUGAAGCUGGAAUCGCUAGUAAUCGCGCAUCAGCCAUGGCGCGGUGAAUACGUUCCCGGGCCUUGUACACACCGCCCGUCAAGCCAUGGAAGCUGGGGGUACCUGAAGUCGGUGACCAUUUAGGAGCCGCCUAGGGUAAAACUAGUGACUGGGGCUAAGUCGUAACAAGGUA